AGUUUCCGGAGAAGGCAGAGAAGGUUACAAGGGCAAGUCGUCCGUCGUCAUUGGAGAUAAGGCACCGGCCGCCUUCUUUUUCCCGCAGGCCAGGCAUUUCCAGCUUCCGUCCCUUAGAAAGUAGCCAGUUGGGACUCAUCGACGAGGACCCCGGUCAAGUUUGCCGAGGCCACCGAGCACAAUACCGAGCACCCUUGUCUGUCAGCACCACGACAUUAAUCGAAACACCAUCUCCAUCACAGCGGCCAACUUUGGCCAAAAAGGUCUCGUUUCCAGACUUGCCAGAGUUAGAAUCACCGUAAAAGUCAACAGGAACACGACCGUCAGCUCCACA